rnacentral:tRNA from 1 species
GCCGGAGUGGUGGAAUGGCAGACACGCAGGUUUUAGGUACCUGUGCCUCAGGGCGUGCGGGUUCGACUCCCGCCUUCGGCA